UCGCAGAUAAAUCAGGGAAAGGAGAUCCUGCAGCCUCAUCUUUCCUUCCUGAGAGCAUCUCCCCGGGACUUAUGUUGGGAAGGGCAUUCCAGAAACCCUGUCAGCACCAACUGCUGAAAUCGUAUCAGCUUGCCACUGAUGGAAAGGAAAGAAAAACACUGGCUCAUCACAAAAGAUAAUGGGAGGCACUGAAAUACACAAUAAAGAAAU